rnacentral:rRNA from 1 species
UACGGAGGAUUCAAGCGUUAUCCGGAUUUAUUGGGUUUAAAGGGUGCGUAGGCGGUUUGAUAAGUUAGAGGUGAAAUACCGGUGCUCAACACCGGAACUGCCUCUAAUACUGUUGAACUAGAGAGUAGUUGCGGUAGGCGGAAUGUAUGGUGUAGCGGUGAAAUGCAUAGAUAUCGCGCAGAACUCCGAUUGCGAAGGCAGCAUGCCGGCUCCACACUGACGUUGAGGCACGAAAGCGUGGGGAGCAAACAGG